CGUUGGGGAAGAAGGCGAAUAAUGGUAGGGUGUCUGCAAGAGAGGAUUUGGAGAAGAUGUGAAUCUGCGUUGGAUGGGCUCGAACUCGUCGGGGUUCGUGGAUGCCCAAGCGACGAUGUCAUCGGAGUCGACUGCAAUUUGAUGGGGUUGGGUUUUGGGAAGAAGACAACGGCAAAAUUGUGCAGUGGGGAGUUUCAAACGAUGUGAAGGUAGAGAGGAACAUUUUGGUCGCCACCUCCUGGGACAGCCAGGUUUAUGAAGACUUGUUGACAAGUUGUGUUUAGGCUUUGUAUUAUUGUCCAAUUGACUACCACUUAAUGUACUGCUCGAGUUAUGGAUCAGUUGCUAGCUAAACCACAGCGAGUUAGCCAUCAAGGAGGGUACCAUUCUAUUCGUCUCAUCCCGAGGACUUAAAAUCGAGGCAUACGAUCUCGACGUUGAGGCGUUCCCAUAUCGGUACCUUUGAGUCCUUUGGAUGUAGGACCACUAGAAGAAAAAAGCUCAUCUAUCAUGGUGAAUGCUCGUGAUAAAUUGCAAUCCACCACAGACACUGCCCGUUAGUAUUCUGGAUGUGAUAAAAAGUCUCAAUUUUACCACGGGCUAUGCCCGUUGUCAAUGCAAUAUAACCACGGAUUGUGCCCGUGGUAGAUUGAGAUCUAACAUCACGUGCUAUGGCCGUUGUCGAUUACUAAUUGACCACAGUUAA